rnacentral:rRNA from 1 species
GACGAACGCUGGCGGCGUGCCUAAUACAUGCAAGUCGACCUUAGUGGCGGACGGGUGAGUAAUGCCUAGGAAUCUGCCUGGGAGGGGGGGGUAACGUCAGGAAACAGGCGCUAAUACCGAAUAAUAUCAGAUAAGACUAGGUCGGAUGAGCUAGUUGGGGGGGUAACGGCGUACCAAGGCGACGAUCCGGAACUGGUCUGAGAGGAUGAGCACGCACACUGGAACUGAAACACUGUCAAGACUCCUACGGUAGGCAGCAGUGGGGAAUAUUGGACAAUGGGCGAGAGCCUGAUCCAGCCAUGCCGCGUGUGUGGAGAAGGUCUUCGGAUUGUAAAGCACGUUAAGUGGGGAGGCGUUACCAACAGAAUAAGCACCGGCUAACUUCGUGCCAGCAGCCGCGGUAAUAC